rnacentral:rRNA from 1 species
GACGAACGCUGGCGGCGUGCUUAGCACGUGCAAGUCGAACGGAAAGGCCCUGCUUUUGUGGGGUGCUCGAGUGGCGAACGGGUGAGUAACACGUGAGUAACCUGCCCUUGACUUUGGGAUAACUUCAGGAAACUGGGGCUAAUACCGGAUAGGAGCUCCUGCUGCAUGGUGGGGGUUGGAAAGUUUCGGCGGUUGGGGAUGGACUCGCGGCUUAUCAGCUUGUUGGUGGGGUAGUGGCUUACCAAGGCUUUGACGGGUAGCCGGCCUGGGAGGGUGACCGGCCACGUUGGGACUGGGAUGCGGCCCAGACUCCUACGGGAGGCAGCAGUGGGGAAUAUUGCACAAUGGGCGGAAGCCUGAUGCAGCAACGCCGCGUGCGGGAUGACGGCCUUCGGGUUGUAAACCGCUUUCGCCUGUGACGAAGCGUGAGUGACGGUAAUGGGUAAAGAAGCACCGGCUAACUACGUG